rnacentral:rRNA from 1 species
AGCGAACGCUGGCGGCAGGCCUAACACAUGCAAGUCGAACGAACCUUUCGGGGUUAGUGGCGGACGGGUGAGUAACACGUGGGAACGUGCCUUUAGGUUCGGAAUAACUCAGGGAAACUUGUGCUAAUACCGAAUGUGCCCUUCGGGGGAAAGAUUUAUCGCCCUUAGAGCGGCCCGCGUCUGAUUAGCUAGUUGGUUGAGGUAAUGGCUCACCAAGGCGACGUUCAGUAGCUGGUAUGGGAGGAUGAUCAGCCACAUUGGGACUGAGACGCGGCCCAAACUCCUACGGGAGGCAGCAGUGGGGAAUCUUGCGCAAUGGGCGAAAGCCUGACGCAGCCAUGCCGCGUGAAUGAUGAAGGUCUUAGGAUUGUAAAAUUCUUUCACCGGGGACGAUAAUGACGGUACCCGGAGAAGAAGCCCCGGCUAACUUCGUG